rnacentral:rRNA from 1 species
GACGAUCAGUAGCCGGCCUGAGAGGGUGAACGGCCACAUUGGGACUGAGAUACGGCCCAGACUCCUACGGGAGGCAGCAGUGGGGAAUAUUGCACAAUGGAGGCAACUCUGAUGCAGCGACGCCGCGUGAGUGAAGAAGUAUUUCGGUAUGUAAAGCUCUAUCAGUAGGGAAGAUAAUGACGGUACCUACAGAAGAAGCCCCGGCUAAAUACGUGCCAGCAGCCGCGGUAAUACGUAUGGGGCAAGCGUUAUCCGGAUUUACUGGGUGUAAAGGGAGUGUAGGCGGCAGUACAAGUCAGGAGUGAAAACUUGGGGCUCAACCCCAAGACUGCUUUUGAAACUGUACAGCUAGAGUGUAGGAAGGGCAAGCGGAAUUCCUGGUGUAGCGGUGAAAUGCGUAGAUAUCAGGAAGAACACCGGUGGCGAAGGCGGCUUGCUGGACUAUAACUGACGCUGAGACUCGAAAGCGUGGGGAGCGAACAGGAUUAGAUACCCUGGUAGUCCACGCUGUAAACGAUGAAUACUAGGUGUUGGGUCUCGAUAGAGAUUCGGUGCCGAAGCAAACGCAUUAAGUAUUCCACCUGGGGAGUACGUUCGCAAGAAUGAAACUCAAAGGAAUUGACGGGGACCCGCACAAGCGGUGGAGCAUGCGGUUUAAUUCGAAGCAACGCGAAGAACCUUACCAGGUCUUGACAUCCUGCUGACCGGUCAGUAAUGUGACCUUUUCUUCGGAACAGCAGUGACAGGUGGUGCAUGGUUGUCGUCAGCUCGUGUCGUGAGAUGUUGGGUUAAGUCCCGCAACGAGCGCAACCCUCAUCUAUAGUAGCCAGCAUUUUGGAUGGGCACUCUAUAGAGACCGCCGGGGAUAACCCGGAGGAGGAUGGGGAUGACGUCAAAUCAUCAUGCCCCUUAUGGCCUGGGCUACACACGUGCUACAAUGGCACUAAACAAAGUGAAGCGAGACAGUGAUGUUAAGCAAAGCACAAAAACAGUGUCCCAGUUCGGAUUGUAGUCUGCAACUCGACUACAUGAAGCCGGAAUCGCUAGUAAUCGCAGAUCAGCAUGCUGCGGUGAAUACGUUCCCGGGUCUUGUACACACCGCCCGUCACACCAUGGGAGUCGGAAACGCCCGAAGCCGGUGGCCUAACCGUAAGGAAGGAGCCGUCGAAGGCGGGUUCGGUGACUGGGGUGAAGUCGUAACAAGGCA